rnacentral:rRNA from 2 species
AUGCAAGUCGAGCGAACUGAUUAGAAGCUUGCUUCUAUGACGUUAGCGGCGGACGGGUGAGUAACACGUGGGCAACCUGCCUGUAAGACUGGGAUAACUUCGGGAAACCGAAGCUAAUACCGGAUAGGAUCUUCUCCUUCAUGGGAGAUGAUUGAAAGAUGGUUUCGGCUAUCACUUACAGAUGGGCCCGCGGUGCAUUAGCUAGUUGGUGAGGUAACGGCUCACCAAGGCAACGAUGCAUAGCCGACCUGAGAGGGUGAUCGGCCACACUGGGACUGAGACACGGCCCAGACUCCUACGGGAGGCAGCAGUAGGGAAUCUUCCGCAAUGGACGAAAGUCUGACGGAGCAACGCCGCGUGAGUGAUGAAGGCUUUCGGGUCGUAAAACUCUGUUGUUAGGGAAGAACAAGUACAAGAGUAACUGCUCGUACCUUGACGGUACCUAACCA